rnacentral:rRNA from 1 species
AAAAGCGGAGGAAAAGAAACCAACAGGGAUUGCCUCAGUAACGGCGAGUGAAGCGGCAAAAGCUCAAAUUUGAAAUCCCCCGGGAAUUGUAAUUUGAAGAGAUUUGGGUCCGGCCGGCGGGGGUUAAGUCCACUGGAAAGUGGCGCCACAGAGGGUGACAGCCCCGUGAACCCCUUUAACGCCCUCAUCCCAGAUCUCCAAGAGUCGAGUUGUUUGGGAAUGCAGCUCUAAGUGGGUGGUAAAUUCCAUCUAAAGCUAAAUACCGGCGAGAGACCGAUAGCGAACAAGUACAGUGAUGGAAAGAUGAAAAGCACUUUGAAAAGAGAGUGAAAAAGUACGUGAAAUUGUUGAAAGGGAAGGGCUUGCAAGCAGACACUUAACUGGGCCAGCAUCGGGGCGGCGGGGAGCAAAACCACCGGGGAAUGUACCUUUCGAGGAUUAUAACCCCGGCCCUUACUCCCAUACCACCCCGAGGCCUGCAAUCUAAGGAUGCUGGCGUAAUGGUUGCAAGUCGCCCGUCUUGAA